UCAUCUUUUUUCUAUAUUUUGUAGUACUUGGCAUUUUUCAGUUCGCGUAUUACAAUUUUAUCUUAAACACAUCUUUUAUUAUCCAUUUUCAUAUUGUAAAAUUAAAAAUUAGUCCACAAAGAUAAAAAUAAUAUAAAAAAUUGCCAAUUUUUGAACAAAAAGACGAAAUAACCCCUCCCCUAAAAAUAAAAAUUUCUCUCAAUCUGUUCGGUACUCUCUCUCUUCUUCUCCCCCCCUCCUCUCUCUCCCCCACUCUCUUUUCUCUCUCUCUCUCUCAGCUCUCUGUCGCCCCGUCGCCGCCCUCUGAUUCUCGGCGAGCAGCGGUUACAAGGCUGCCACCACCGCGAUUCUCAGCCGCCUGAGGCCGAGCAGUUCAUCGCCGGAAAAAAUGGCCUCUUUUACCAAUCUAUCUCCUUCUCAUGCUCGAUCUCCAGUUCGGAUCUAAGCUCCACUAGCCCUUCCACGCAGCGACAGAGCUGGCCCGCCACCGGGUCACGCCGCCCUCCACCACCUUCGCCCGGUUCCGCCCCCACGAGCAGAGCUCUGAUACAAGCUUCAACGCCGACUUCUUCGCCGGAAAAAAUGGAUCCUCUCUUACAUACUGAGAUUUGAGCGAAAUAUAAGUUGAUCUACUGAGAUUUGGGCGAAUUGGUGAUUUUAGUGAGGAGUUUUGUUGAUUUGAUGGAUCCUCUUACUAUUGUAGGAAUUCAAUAUCGAGAAGCUGCAGUUGGUGGAGGCUGAGAAGAAGAAGAUCAAAUAGGAAUACGAGCGCAAGGAGAAACAAGAUCAAGUGCGCAAGAAGAUCUAAGAUUUUAUGGUUUCAUUUGAAUUAAUCGAUGUAUAGAAAGCACGCAGAUGCCCGCAUGAACCCUGCAGCUAGCUAGAAAGCUUAGCUUUUUCAUUCCCGAGAGACUUUGGAAAUCGGAUAAUUAAUCAUAGUUGGUAAUGAUUUUUGGAUGCAGAUAAGUGAAAUUGUUUAGUUCAUUUGUUUGAUUUUUUAAAUGAUUUUUCCAUACUAUAAAGGAAGCGUAUUUACAUUGAUAUGUUGAUGUUAAUGUGUUGGUUUUCUGAAUGACUCCUAUUUAUUGGCAAUUUCUUGAAUUCACGACUAAAUGUAUC
rnacentral:lncRNA from 1 species